rnacentral:sRNA from 1 species
UGACAUAGCAAUCAACAUCGAGUCUUUUUAAGUCCUACCUAAUACCCCCAAAAGAUUUCAGGUUCUCAACAAGAGAAAGCAAGGAUAAUAUCAAAUGAAGAUGCUUCUAUUUUAGACUUUUAGUCUACAUCUUACGUGCAGCAUGUCACUUUUAUGUUUUAAGUCCAAACCCCAUUAGACUAAGAGAAUAUUACGUGAUUAGACUCUUUAAAACACUUUAAAUGGAGAAGACACUUUAGAUAAAUUAUUUUACUUAUUUACCCUUUAACUACAUUUUUUCCAUCGGUCAUCUUUUCUCUCUCCUUUUCCCAUCUCUUCUCUCUUUUUUUCUU